rnacentral:rRNA from 1 species
AUUGAACGCUGGCGGCAGGCUUAACACAUGCAAGUCGAACGAGUGGCGGACGGGUGAGUAAUGCUUGGGAAUCUGGCUGAUGGAGGGGGAUAACUACUGGAAACUGUAGCUAAUACCGCGUACCAUAGGAUGAGCCCAAAGGGGAUUAGGUAGUUGGUGGGGUAAAGGCUCACCAAGACGACGAUCUCUAGCUGGUCUGAGAGGAUGACCAGCCACACUGGGACUGAGACACGGCCCAGACUCCUACGGGCGGCAGCAGUGGGGAAUAUUGCGCAAUGGGGGCAACCUGACGCAGCCAUGCCGCGUGAAUGAAGAAGGCCUUCGGGUUGUAAAGUUCUUUCAGUAGCGAGGCGUUAACCACAGAAGAAGCACCGGCUAACUCCGUGCCAGCAGCCGCGGUAAUUC